UCAAAACUCAGAGGUUCAUGAAAGCAGUGCUCUUGAGUGAAAAAGGAUGCCAACAGCUUCUUCAUGAGUGACGCCAUCCAGAGUCUGCCCGUUAACCGCCAUGAUUUGGUCUCCUCUCUUCAGGCGGCCGUCUUCUGCAGCUGCUCCCUGAGCACAACGAAUGGGCAAGUCUCCAUGGGGGCUGCCGUACCCUCCAACAAUACUGAAACCAAGUCCGUCAGGUCCUCGAUCAAGAGUGAUGGUCUUAUACUGAGGUGGGCUGAUGGACAGACAAGACAGUUAGGGAUAGUAUGGAAGGUAUCCAGGCUGGAAGACGACAUUUUUUGUUUUUAAAAUAAAGGAGUUUUCCAAAAUGA